GAUGAAGAACGCAGCGAAAUGCGAUAAGUAAUGUGAAUUGCAGAAUUCAGUGAAUCAUCGAAUCUUUGAACGCACCUUGCGCCCCUUGGUAUUCCGAGGGGCAUGCCUGUUCGAGCGUCAUUAUAACCCCUCAAGCUCAGCUUGGUGUUGGGGCCUGCUGCACUGGCAGCCCUUAAAAUCAGUGGCGGCGCCAUCUGGCUCUAAGCGUAGUAAUUCUUCUCGCUAUGGAGUCCUGGUGGAUGCUUGCCAUCAACCCCCAAUUUUUCUAUGGUUGACCUCGGAUCAGGUAGGGAUACCCGCUGAACUUAAGCAUAUCAAUAAGCGGAGGA
rnacentral:misc_RNA from 1 species